UAAUACGUAGGGGGCAAGCGUUGUCCGGAAUUAUUGGGCGUAAAGAGCGUGUAGGCGGUCCGGUAAGUCAGCUGUGAAAGUCAAGGGCUCAACCCUUGAAUGCCGGUUGAUACUGUCGGGCUAGAGUCCGGAAGAGGCGAGUGGAAUUCCCGGUGUAGCGGUGAAAUGCGCAGAUAUCGGGAGGAACACCAAUGGCGAAGGCAGCUCGCUGGGACGGUACUGACGCUGAGACGCGAAAGCGUGGGGAGCAAACAGGAUUAGAUACCCUGGUAGUCCACGCCGUAAACGAUGGGCACUAGGUGUUGGGGGUGUCGACUCCCCCGGCGCCGUAGCUAACGCAUUAAGUGCCCCGCCUGGGGAGUACGGCCGCAAGGCUA
rnacentral:rRNA from 1 species